rnacentral:rRNA from 1 species
UUGUGGUUAAAAAGCUCGUAGUUGGAUCUCGGCGGACUGAGGGCGGUUUGCUUGCUAGUAUUACUGCCCUAUAGUCCGUAGUUUUGCCAGAGGUUUCGGGGUGCUCUUAAUCGAGUGUCCCGGGAUGCUGGCAGGUUUACUUUGAAAAAAUUAGAGUGCUCAAAGCAGGCUAUUACGCCUGAAUAUUCGUGCAUGGAAUAAUAGAGUAGGAAGUCGUUUCUAUUUUGUUGGUUUUCGGAAAUCGACUUAAUGAUUAAUAGGGACAGUCGGGGGCAUUUGUAUUCAAACGACAGAGGUGAAAUUCUUGGACCGUUUGAAGACAAACUACUGCGAAAGCAUUUGCCAAGAAUGUUUUCAUUAAUCAAGAACGAAAGUUAGAGGUUCGAAGGCGAUUGGAUACCGCCCUAGUUCUAACCAUAAACGAUGCCAGCUAGCGAUCUGAGGACGUUUUUUUUGUAGACUCCUCAGGAAGCUUCCGGGAAACCAAAGCGUGUGGGUUCCGGGGGAAGUAUGGUUGCAAAGCUGAAACUUAAAGGAAUUGACGGAAGGGCACCACCAGGAGUGGAGCCUGCGGCUAAAUUUGACUCAACACGGGAAAUCUCACCAGGCCCGGACACUGGAAGGAUUGACAGAUUGAGAGCUCUUUCUCGAUUCGGUG